CGAGAAAAGUAAAGAACAAGAAUGCUAGAGUUAGCAAGAGUAAUGAAAAUGUAAAGAAUGUGAUUGCAUGAGUUUGCAACAUAAAGUGAUGUAAAGAACACUAGAGCUAGUGUAAAGUCAAGAUUGAACUAUAAUCCUUUGAGUUAAGGAUAUGAUCAUACUUGCUGUUGAGUUCCGUGCUCGAGGCGGUCGCUCCCCCUCGGGCGAUGCGCUCCGGAGUUAUGCAUCCGGGUUGGAGUAGACCCGAAAGGACGGUCCUAGCUGGUGAGUUCCUGCGAUGAUGGACUUAGCGUGAGGCAAGUUAAUGUGGCGAAACCC
rnacentral:lncRNA from 1 species